rnacentral:rRNA from 1 species
AUUGAACGCUGGCGGCAGGCCUAACACAUGCAAGUCGAACGGUAACAGGAAGCAGCUUGCUGCUUUGCUGACGAGUGGCGGACGGGUGAGUAAUGUCUGGGAAACUGCCUGAUGGAGGGGGACAACUACUGGAAACGGUAGCUAAUACCGCAUAACGUCGCAAGACCAAAGAGGGGGACCUUCGGGCCUCUUGCCAUCGGAUGUGCCCGGAUGGGAUGAGCUUGUUGGUGGGGUAACGGCUCACGAAGGCGACGAUCCCUAGCUGGUCUGAGAGGAUGACCAGCCACACUGGAACUGAGACACGGUCCAGACUCCUACGGGAGGCAGCAGUGGGGAAUAUUGCACAAUGGGCGCAAGCAUGAUGCAGCCAUGCCGCGUGUAUGAAGAAGGCCUUCGGGUUGUAAAGUACUUUCAGCGGGGAGGAAGGGAGUAAAGUUAAUACCUUUCCUCAUUGACGUUACCCGCAGAAGAAGCACCGGCUAACUCCGUG